rnacentral:lncRNA from 1 species
AAAACUUGGUUCCUUCACCAAUAUUACUUAUGAAUUAUUUGUCACAUCCAGAAAUUUUAGUUUAGACAUUUGAAAACUUUUAUAGUUUGACUUUAUUUCAAAUUUGAAUUUGAAUGGGAUUUGAAUCAUCGUGAGAUUGUCAACAACAAUCGUGGUGAUGUGUCAACAUUUGUAGAGGGUUACUGUAGCUUAAUUAUCCGGGCGUCACAAUUCUCCUCCACUACAAGAAAUCUCGUCCCGAGAUUUAAGAGGUGGUGAAAGGGGGAAAGGUUUUGGUUAUGAAUCUAGCGGGUCUUCUCAAUCUUGGUUGCUCUUCUCGAAGAGAUCGAUCCAUUACAUUGUUGUCAUCCUUUUUUCGGGAUCUCCAUCAUACUUACGAAUAGGUAGGGGGCAGCUCUACAACGAUAGGAUGUUAUAAGGGAAAAUCUUCUAGGGGUUUCCCAAGUAUGAACAUAUGAGUAUCUCUCGAGUUGAACAAAUGAAACACAUCGAGAGCAAAGUGGUGCAAUAAGAAGUUUCAAGCGGAUAGGCAAUCGUUCAUUGCCUGAAACAGAGUGUGAAUGGGGUUCAGAGCAACGGGAAUAAGUAUUGUGUCCGAUACCAGAAUUGAUCACUAGGAAGGUGGCUCGCAAAUUACAUACGAAGUCAAGCUCUAGGAAUAACUUUGGCAACAGGGUGUAUAGGAGAGUCAGGUUUCGAUCGCGGGACCUGUGGGUUAUGGGCCCACAUGUGGGUUAAAAGUAGGAAGGGCGGUGACAUCUUGCACGAUCAUGUAAGCAAGGCAUGUCAGAGAAUUGCCUGUCAUUUAUGUCGGCAACAACAUCGGUACCAAUGGCGAGGAACGAAGAGAACCAUUUUCCUGCUCGUCGAAACGAGGCGGACCAAUAGGUAAAGUUCUCGUCCAUCGGUGGUUACCGGAAUGUCAACAACAAUAGUAACAGGGUCUUACUGAAAGAGUUGUACGCUGAGGUGCUUAUAAAAGCAGUGACGUAUUAUUGCUUAGAUCAUAUAAAUCUCAAGAAGGUUAAACAGAACAAUGGAAAGGAAAAUGUGAUUAUCAGAUUAAACAGAACAAUGGAAAGGAAAAAAUGUGUUUAAGCACAUAUUUCAGGGGUAUAUCCUUCCCAAUACAAGCAGAGUAUGAUACCCAAGACCGGAUAGAAGGUACAAAACCACUUAGGUAAGGGGAGAGGAAUUUCAUGACGUUACCCAUACAGUGGUGUUUGGGUAAUUGAGCAGGAAAUAUUAGCAUUGGGCUUCAAAUGUUCUUGUUGAAAAUCGGAGUACCAUAGACAUGCUUCGAGAUAGCGUUGGCAUGGUAUUCAAGCAAAGGUCAGACUUUGGAUACUCAAAGGAUCCGUCAGGAACAAUUUGUAGAAUAAGUCUUACAAUUUCCUCAUGGUAGAAUGGAUAACCUUGUAGAAAAGGAAACUAUAACACUAGGUCCUCCGGCCAGGUGCACUAGGCAUGAUAUCACCUUACCGGGUCAUCUAAAGACCAAUGUUGUACUCUUGGAAAUAUAUUCAAGCCAUCAUAUCUGACCGAGUUUCAGAUCUGAUUGGUGUCAGGAUAUCUCAGACUCAGGAUGCCUGAUAAGAAGAGGUGCAACACAAUUGACGAGAUGACAUUAUAUGAUUCUCGGGAAAUGAACUAUGGAAGCGAGUUCCGAAACCAGAGUUCCUCAGUAAACCAAGGAGAGGAUGAGGAGGUGGCUGAUGAACUCAGCGACAAUUCAACGAGAUUUCCAAAAGAUGGAUUUCCACAAUUAUGUGAACAGGGAGAUAACAUCUGUCAGAUCAAAUGAUAUAAGGAUGUAUGCUCGAGGAAAACAUGCACAAUUAAGCAUUGGUUGAAAAGUGGACCCAAAAUAUGGUCUUAGGUAGCAUGAUCAAUGUUAGAAAGGUGACUCAACAAGCAAUAGUCUAAGAAUGAAAUACCGACCAUUAACUUGAAAGGAAUAGGGUUGCUAGAAACACGAACAAGUUUAUGUUGAACGGAAGGCAAUAAAGUGGUCGAUGAUAACACAAAUCAUCGAGGGCAAGGAGGGUACUUCUCAUCAUGAAUUCAAUUGAUAUCUUGGAAGGGGUCAAAAUGUUGAUGAUGAUCACGACACAUUGGUCGAGAGGUUUCAAGAAGAUGUAACCGAUCAGCGAUGACAUCAAGUUAACGGAAUGAUGAAGCGAGAAGUUAUUGAAACCAUAGGUACGACACAAACUUGAAAUCAAGCUUGUCAUUCAAGGACAAUUGUUAUGACGAGGAAGAUCGACGUAAGAUUAGCUCACCUCGAAUUUUUUGCUCUGGGAAGGACUAGGUAGCACAGUUAAAAUCGGUAUGACAAGGAUAUAGCCAAACAGGCUAGGAAUGACGUGAUCGAGUUCAAACUCGUAAGUCAUGAAGGUUACCACGAUUUGUUUAAUCGCGGUGCAGACUUCAGUCAGUUAUCGGUGUCUUUGAGUGUUUAAUAACUCAGAGCCCAUGAAAAAUUGGAAUUAGUGAGAAUGUAGCACUUGAUGAAGAACUCAUAAGAAGUAUGCAGUUCCAUGAUAAUCUCGAGAUACCAGGGGGUAAUACUCAACGACAGAUCAUAGUAAAGGUUGGAAUAGGGUAAUGCUCUACAGAAGACAAGUGCUCAAACUUGCACGAGAAAUGGAAUCAAGGAGAAACAUGGUCGGAACCAUGUCCACAGAUACAAGAUGAACUUAUAACAAGGGGGUAAUUAUUUUAAGAGAAGCUUCCAUGAUAAGGUAUACAUCGUUUCCAUGGGCAUGAACACAGGGUUCAAGGUCGACUCCCACUUGUUCAACGCAUAACCUUUCAUUCACCUCUCAUAUUUAGAAAAUGACAUUAGUUGUUGACAGUUUUACCUGGUGCAAUACCAGAUAAGUAUGACCCGUGAAAUCUUCCGGGUUUGCACAUAUUAGGGAAGGCAUUGGUUCAAACCAUCGGGUAUCUUAGGAACAUAUAUCACAAACUUCAGGAGUAAAUAACACAAGCUCGAAAGUAGAGCAUGGUUGACAAGGCGGAGGAUACAGUUUACCAAAGGCAUUAUAUACUUGUGGAAAGGAUCACAAGGUUAUUGAACAUUAAGGACGAUGUUGGAUGAAAUCCAACAAUGGAUCUGAUGAUCCACAACGGAGCUGAUGUGAGUAUCGGUACUGUACCAGAAGAAGAAAGAAUGCAAAGGCAUUGGAUUAUGGAAACAACUGACUAAUCCAGAGCUCAAAUGCAAAGGAAUUAUGAUUUUCAAAUCAAGGGAUCAGAAGCAAUGUUCUGAUUAGGGAUGGAUAAGUUGAAUAGCCUUAGGGGUACAAUCGACGACAAUUGGAUUUGUUGAGAACCAGCUCAUGUUCAAAAUGACGUCUGAGCCGGAAAGAAAAUUUAAAAGGAUCAACUGAUGAUUGCAUGCAUUCGCACUCAUGUUGAAUCAAAGGGAUCAAAAUGACGGUGCCUAAGGGUACUAACGAAUAUUGCCAGACAUAUGGAAAGCAUCCAUCAUGCAAGCAGACAAGUAUUGUAGAGCAAUAAGCUACUAAGGAUUUUUAGAGGAUCGAAUAGUAUUUUGAUGACCAUUGUGAAACACAUGAACAACUGGGGAUGAGCGGAUACUCGAUAAGGGAGAGAUAUUAUCCGUAGGGGUAUUCAGGUGGCAAGGAACUACAAGGCAGUAGGCACACAAUAUUCUCGGAACAAUACUGAAAGUGCAACUAUCCCUAGGUGGUGUUGGUAAUUCAUAACAACAUAUAGCUCAUUGAGCUAAUGCUAUUCCAAGAUGAUUACUUCAGGAAAGCUCAAUGAUUGGCAUGGCAUGGAUGUGAAAGUGGAACCCUCAAAAUGCUAAGGACAAAGGAUUGGCUCAAGCUCAAAAGCUCAAGAUUCUUCAUUUUAUAUUUUAGUGAUCCAAGAUCACAUUGAGUCUUUAGGAAAAGCCAAUACUAUCAAGGAGGGAUGAGGUGUUGCUUAAUGAGCCUCUUGCUUCAUGUGCUUAGUGAUAUGCUCCAAAACCCUCAACUACUUUCCCAUAUCCACAUAUGACCUAAACCCUAAGCCAAACUCGGUCCUACCGAUUCUUCCUAUCCGGCGCCACCGAGUUUCACUUGUCACAAGCCACUGCCAAACCCUAGCAAUUCGGUUCUACCGAUAGGGAUCUCGGUCUCACCGAGAUGGGAUUGCAAACUCUCUGUUUCCCUUUCGUAACUUUUCGGUCUCACCGAAAGAGCGAAUCGGUCCCACCGAGAUUGCAAUGUAAAUUCAGUGUUUCCCCUUUGUAACUUUUUGGUCUCACCGAAAGAGCAAAUUGGUCCCACCGAGUUUGCCUGACCAACUCUCUGGUUAGCUAAUUACCAAAUUCGGUCUCACCGAGUUUGUGUAAUCGGUCUCACCGGUAUUACGUUAUGCCCAAACCCUAACCAUAUCGGUCCUACCGAGUUGCAUGUCAGUCCCACCGAAAAUCUCUAACGGUCACUAGGUUUACAUUUUCGGUCCGACCGAGUUUGUUGAUUCGGUCCCACCGAGAUUGGAAAACUGUGUGUAACGGUUGGAUUUUGUGUGGAGGCUAUAUAUACCCCUCCACCUCCUCUUCAUUCGAAGAGAGAGCAAUCAGAACACAUACACCAUUCCAACUCAUAUGUUCUGAGAGAGAACCACCUACUCAUGUGUUGAGACCAAGAUAUUCCAUUCCUACCAUAUGAAUCUUGAUCUCUAGCCUCUCCAAGUUGCUUUCCACUCAAAUCUUCUUUCCACAAAAUCCAAAUCCUAUGAGAGAGAGUUGAGUGUUGGGGAGACUAUCAUUUGAAGCACGAGAGCAAGGAGUUCAUUACCUACACACCAUUUGUUACUUCUUGGAGAGUGGUGUCUCCUAGAUUGGCUAGGUGUCACUUGGGAGCCUCCGACAAGAUUGUGGAGUUGAACCAAGGAGUUUGUAAGGGCAAGGAGAUCGCCUACUUCGUGAAGAUCUACCGCUAGUGAGGCAAGUCCUGUGUGGGCGAUGGCCAUGGUGGGAUAGACAAGGUUGCUUCUUCGUGCACCCUUUGUGGGUGGUUGCUUCUUCGUGGACCCUUCGUGGGUGGAGCCCUGUGUGGACUCGCGCAACCGUUACCCUUUGUGGGUGGAGCCCUGUGUGGACUCUCGCAACCGUUACCCUUUAUGGGUUGAAGUCUCCAUCAACGUGGAUGUAGGAUAGCACCACCUAUCCGAACCACGAGAAAAACAUCCGUGUCUCCAAUUGCGUUUGCAUUCUCCAAACCCUCCCUUUACAUUCUUGCAAGUUGCAUUUACUUUCCGCUGCCAAUAUAAUCUUUGCAUGCUUGCUUGAAUUGUGUGAUGAUUGCUUGACUUGUCCUAAAAUAGCUAAAAUCUGCCAAGAACUAAAAUUGGGAAAAGGUUAAGUUUUUAUUUGGUCGAGUAGUCUAAUCACCCCCCCCCCUCUAGACAUACUUUCGAUCCUUCAAAUACAGAGAAUUUUCGGUGUAUCUUGUAAUAACAAGAUCAAUGGGAUUUGAAAGGGCAAGUGGAUGUAGUUAUCCAUAAUGAUAUAAUAGUGGUAGGGAAUUUGCAAAGGCGAUGGGCACAAAGUCUCGAAAGGGUAGCAGAGAGUAACUACGAAAUCUUCUGGUGCAACAGGCGAUCAUCUGGCCUGAAUGGGGCUCUCCGGGAGGAAGUAUUUUUGAGAACCUAAAGUUAUAUUUUAGCAAAAUCAUUUAACCCGAAUAGAAGAGAGAUCAGAGUCCCAGAGUAUAGAUGAGGAAUAAAAUAUCCUAAUACCACCCAGAUGGCGACGUGGGCCCGUAAGGCACACAGCCAUGUUCGUAAAAAGUUUUGUAAUGUCUAGACUCGACUUCGGCCAAGGAGUGUGGAAGGGGGAUUCCUACAGGCAGUCGGCUCUGAUACCAACUUGUGACGCCCCCAAUUUGACCGUACACUAAUCAUACACGCAAACGUGUACAAUCAAGAUCAGGGACUCACGGGAAGAUAUCACGACACAACUCUACAAAUAAAAUAAGUCAUACAAGCAUCAUAUUACAAGCCAGGGGCCUCGAGGGCUCGAAUACAAGAGCUCGAUCAUAGACGAGUCAGCGAAAGAAACAAUAUCUGAGUACAGACAUAAGUUAAACAAGCUUGCCUUAAGAAGGCUAGCACAAACUGGGAUACAGAUCGAAAGAGGCGCAGGCCUCCUGCCUGGGAUCCUCCUAAACUACUCCUGGUCGUCGUCAGCGGGCUGCACGUAGUAGUAGGCACCUCCCGAGUAGUAGUAGUCAUCAUCAACGGUGGCGUCUGGCUCCUGGACUCCAACGUCUCGUCGCAGCAAUCGGGUAGAAGGGAAAGAGGAAAAGAGGGAGAAAGCAACCGUGAGUACUCAUCCAAAGUACUCGUUGUUGGGGAACGCAGUAAUUUCAAAAAAAAUCCUACGCACACGCAAGAUUAUGGUGACGCAUAGCAAUGAGAGGGGAGAGUGUUGUCUACGUACCCACGCAGACCGACUGCGGAAGCGUUGACGCAACGUAGAGGAAGUAGUCGUACGUCUUCCCGAUCCGACCGAUCCAAGCACCGUUACUCCGGCACCUCCGAGUUCUUAGCACACGUACAACUCGAUGACGAUCCCCGGGCUCCGAUCCAGCAAAGCGUCGGGGAGGAGUUCCGUCAGCACGACUGCGUGGUGACGAUCUUGAUGUUCUACUGUCGCAGGGCUUCGCCUAAGCACCGCUACAAUAUGAUCAAGGUGGAAUAUGGUGGCAGGGGGUGAAGGAAAUAUGCCCUAGAGGCAAUAAUAAAGUUAUUAUUUAUUUCCUUAUAAUCAUGAUAAAUGUUUAUUAUUCAUGCUAGAAUUGUAUUAACCGGAAACAUAAUACAUGUGUGAAUAAAUAGACAAACAAAGUGUCACUAGUAUGCCUCUACUUGACUAGCUCGUUAAUCAAAGAUGGUUAUGUUUCCUAACCAUGAACAAUGAGUUGUUAUUUGAUUAACGAGGUCACAUCAUUAGUUGAAUGAUCUGAUUGACAUGACCCAUUCCAUUAGCUUAGCACCCGAUCGUUUAGUAUGUUGCUAUUGCUCUCUUCAUGACUUAUACAUGUUCCUAUAACUAUGAGAUUAUGCAACUCCCGUUUACCGGAGGAACACUUUGGGUACUACCAAACGUCACAACGUAACUGGGUGAUUAUAAAGGAGUACUACAGGUGUCUCCAAUGGUACAUGUUGGGUUGGCGUAUUUCGAGAUUAGGUUUUGUCACUCCGAUUGUGGAGAGGUAUCUCUGGGCCCUCUCGGUAAUGCACAUCACAUAAGCCAUGCAAGCAUUACAACUAAUAUGGUAGUUGUGAGAUGAUGUAUUACGGAACGAGUAAAGAGACUUGCCGGUAACGAGAUUGAACUAGGUAUUGGAUACCGACGAUCGAAUCUCUGGCAAGUAACAUACCAAUGUCAAAGGGAACAACGUAUGUUGUUAUGCGGUCUGACCGAUAAAGAUCUUCAUAGAAUAUGUAGGAGCCAAUAUGGGCAUCCAGGUCCCGCUAUUGGUUAUUGACCGGAGACGUGUCUCGGUCAUGUCUACAUUGUUCUCGAACCGUAGGGUCCGCACGCUUAACGUUACGAUGACAGUUAUUAUGAGUUUAUGCAUUUUGAUGUACCGAAGGUUGUUCGGAGUCCCAGAUGUGAUCACGGACAUGACGAGGAGUCUCGAAAUGGUCGAGACAUGAAGAUUGAUAUAUUGGAAGCCUAUGUUUGGACAUCGGAAGUGUUCCGGGUGAAAUCAGGAUUUUACCGGAUUACCGGGAGGUUACCGGAACCCCCCGGGAGUCAUAUGGGCCUUAUUGGGCCUUAGUGGAAAGGUGAAAGGGCUGCCCAUAAGGGUUGCGCGCCUCCCCCCCUCCCCUAGUCCUAUUAGGACUAGGAGAGGUGGCCGGCCACCCCUCUCCCUCUUUCCCCCUUGGGAAUCCUAGUUGGAAUAGGAUUGGGGGGGAGUCCUACUCCCGGUAGGAGUAGGACUCCUCCUGCGCCCUCCUCCUGGCCGGCGCACCUCUCCCCCUUGGCACCUUUAUAUACGAAGGCAGGGGGCACCUCUAGACACACAAGUUGAUCAUUGAGAUCGUUUCUUAGCCGUGUGCGGUGCCCCCUGCCACCAUAUUCCACCUCGAUCAUAUCGUUGUAGUGCUUAGGCGAAGCCCUGCGUCGGUAAUACAUCAAGAUUGUCACCACGCCGUCGUGCUGACAGAACUCCUCCCCGAAGCUUUGCUGGAUCGGAGCCCGGGGAUCGUCAUCGAGCUGUACGUGUGCUAAGAACUCGGAGGUGCCGGAGUAACGGUGCUUGGAUCGGUUGGAUCGGGAAGAAGACGUACGACUACUUCCUCUACGUUGUGUCAAUGCUUCCGUUGCGAUCUACAAGGGUACGUAGAUCAUACUCUCCCCUCGUUGCUAUGCAUCACCAUGAUCUUGCGUGUGCGUAGGAAAAAUUUGAAAUUACUACGUUCCCCAACAGUGGCAUCCGAGCCUAGGUUUUAUGGUUUGAUGUUAUUUGCACGAGUAGAACACAAGUGAGUUGUGGACGAUACAAGUCAUACUGCCUACCAGCAUGUCAUACUUUGGUUCGGCGGUAUUGUUGGACGAGACGACCCGGACCAACCUUACGCGUACGCUUACGCGAGACCGGUUCCCUCGACGUGCUUUGCACAUAGAUGGCUUGCGGGCGACUGUCUCUCCAACUUUAGUUGAACCGAGUGUGGCUACGCCCGGUCCUUGUGAAGGUUAAAACAGAGUCUAUUUGACAAACUAUCGUUGUGGUUUUGAUGCGUAGGUGAGAUUGGUUCUUGCUUAAAGCCCGUAGCAGCCACGUAAAACUUGCAACAACAAAGUAGAGGACGUCUAACUUGUUUUUGCAGGGCAUGUUGUGAUGUGAUAUGGUCAAGGCAUGAUGCUAAAUUUUAUUGUAUGAGAUGAUCAUGUUUUGUAACCGAGUUAUCGGCAACUGGCAGGAGCCAUAUGGUUGUCGCUCUAUUGUAUGCAAUGCAAUCGCGAUGUAAUGCUUUACUUUAUCACUAAACGGUAGCCGUGGAAGCAUAAGAUUUGCGAGACGACAACGAUGCUACGAUGGAGAUCAAGGUGUCGCACCGGUGACGAUGGUGAUCAUGACGGUGCUUCGGAGAUGGAGAUCACAGGCACAAGAUGAUGAUGGCCAUAUCAUAUCACUUAUAUUGAUUGCAUGUGAUGUUUAUCUUUAUAUGCAUCUUAUCUUGCUUUGAUUGACGGUAGCAUUAUAAGAUGAUCUCUCACUAAAUUAUCCAGAAGUGUUCUCCCUGAGUAUGCACCAUUGCAAAAGUUCUUCGUGCUGAGACACCACGUGAUGAUCGGGUGUGAUAGGCUCUACGUUCAAAUACAACGGGUGCAAAACAGUUGCACACGCGAAAUACGCAGGUUAUACUUGACGAGCCAAGCAUAUACAGAUAUGGCCUCGGAACACGGAGACCGAAAGGUCGAGCGUGAAUCAUAUAGUAGAUAUGAUCAACAUAAUGAUGUUCACCAAUGAAACUACUCCAUCUCACGUGAUGAUCGGACAUGGUUUAGUUGAUUUGGAUCACGUGAUCACUUAGAGGAUUAGAGGGAUGUCUAUCUAAGUGGGAGUUCUUAAGUAAUAUGAUUAAUUGAACUUAAAUUUAUCAUGAACUUAGUACCUGAUAGUAUCUUGCUUAUUUAUGUUGAUUGUAGAUAGAUGGCUCGUGCUGUUGUUCCGUUGAAUUUUAAUGCGUUCCUUGAGAAAGCAAAGUUGAAAGAUGAUGGUAGCAAUUACACGGACUGGGUCCGUAACUUGAGGAUUAUCCUCAUUGCUGCACAGAAGAAUUACGUCCUGGAAGCACCGCUGGGUGCCAAGCCUACUGCUGGAGCAACACCAGAUGUUAUGAACGUCUGGCAGAGCAAAGCUGAUGACUACUCGAUAGUUCAGUGUGCCAUGCUUUACGGCUUAGAAUCGGGACUUCAACGACGUUUUGAACGUCAUGGAAGAUAUGAGAUGUUUCAGGAGUUGAAGUUAAUAUUUCAAGCAAAUGCCCGGAUUGAGAGAUAUGAAGUCUCCAAUAAGUUCUAUAGCUGCAAGAUGGAAGAGAACAGUUCUGUCAGUGAGCAUAUACUCAAAAUGUCUGGGUAUAAUAAUCACUUGAUUCAAUUGGGAGUUAAUCGUCCAGAUGAUUGCGUCAUUGACAGAAUUCUCCAAUCACUGCCACCAAGCUACAAGAGCUUCGUGAUGAACUAUAAUAUGCAAGGGAUGAACAAGACUAUUCCCGAGCUCUUCGCAAUGCUGAAAGCUGCGGAGGUAGAAAUCAAAAAGGAGCAUCAAGUGUUGAUGGUUAACAAAACCACUAGUUUCAAGAAAAAGGGCAAAGGGAAGAAGAAGGGGAACUUCAAGAAGAAUGGCAAGCAAGUUGCUGCUCAAGAGAAGAAACCCAAGUCUGGACCUAAGCCUGAAACUGAGUGCUUCUACUGCAAGCAGACUGGUCACUGGAAGCGGAACUGCCCAAAGUAUUUGGCGGAUAAGAAGGAUGGCAAGGUGAACAAAGGUAUAUAUGAUAUACAUGUUAUUGAUGUGUACCUUACUAAUGCUCGCAGUAGCACCUGGGUAUUUGAUACUGGUUCUGUUGCUAAUAUUUGCAACUCGAAACAGGGGCUACGGAUUAAGCAAAGAUUGGCUAAGGACGAGGUGACGAUGCGCGUGGGAAACGGUUCCAAAGUCGAUGUGAUCGCGGUCGGCACGCUACCUCUACAUCUACCUUCGGGAUUAGUAUUAGACCUAAAUAAUUGUUAUUUAGUGCCAGCGUUAAGCAUGAACAUUAUAUCUGGAUCUUGUUUGAUGCGAGACGGUUAUUCAUUUAAAUCAGAGAAUAAUGGUUGUUCUAUUUAUAUGAGUAAUAUCUUUUAUGGUCACGCACCCUUGAAGAGUGGUCUAUUCUUAUUGAAUCUCGAGAGUAGUGAUACACAUAUUCAUAAUGUUGAAGCCAAAAGAUGCAGAGUUGAUAAUGAUGGUGCAACUUAUUUGUGGCACUGCCGUUUAGGUCAUAUCGGUGUAAAGCGCAUGAAGAAACUCCAUACUGAUGGACUUUUGGAACCACUUGAUUAUGAAUCACUUGGUACUUGCGAACCGUGCCUCAUGGGCAAGAUGACUAAAACACCGUUCUCCGGUACUAUGGAGAGAGCAAUAGAUUUGUUGGAAAUCAUACAUACAGAUGUAUGUGGUCCGAUGAAUAUUGAGGCUCGUGGCGGAUCGUUAUUUUCUCACCUUCACAGAUGAUUUAAGCAGAUAUGGUUAUAUCUACUUAAUGAAACAUAAGUCUGAAACAUUUGAAAAGUUCAAAGAAUUUCAGAGUGAAGUGGAAAAUCAUCGUAACAAGAAAAUAAAGUUUCUACGAUCUGAUCGUGGAGGAGAAUAUUUGAGUUACGAGUUUGGUGUACAUUUGAAAAAUUGUGGAAUAGUUUCGCAACUCACGCCACCCGGAACACCACGGCGUAAUGGUGUGUCCGAACGUCGUAAUCGUACUUUACUAGAUAUGGUGCGAUCUAUGAUGUCUCUUACUGAUUUACCGCUAUCAUUUUGGGGAUACGCUCUAGAGACGGCCGCAUUCACGUUAAACAGGGCACCAUCAAAAUCCGUUGAGACGACGCCUUAUGAAUUAUGGUUUGGCAAGAAACCAAAGUUGUCGUUUCUGAAAGUUUGGGGCUGCAAUGCUUAUGUGAAAAAGCUUCAACCUGAUAAGCUCGAACCCAAAUCGGAGAAAUGUGUCUUCAUAGGAUAUCCAAAGGAAACUAUUGGAUACACCUUCUAUCACAGAUCCGAAGGCAAGACUUUUGUUGCUAAAUUCGGAAACUUUCUUGAGAAGGAGUUUAUCUCGAAAGAAGUGAGUGGGAGGAAAGUAGAACUUGAUGAGGUAACUAUACCUGCUCCCUUGUUGGAAAAUAGUACAUCACAGAAAACUGUUUCUGCGACACCUACACCAAUAAGUGAGGAAGUUAAUGAUAAUGAUCAUGAAACUUUAGAACAAGAUACUACUGAACCUUGUAGAUCAACCAGAGUAAGAUCCACACCAGAGUGGUACGGUAAUCCAGUUCUGGAAGUCAUGCUACUAGAUCAUGAUGAACCUACGAACUAUGAAGAAGCGAUGGUGAGCCCAGAUUCCGCAAAGUGGCUUGAAGCCAUGAAAUCUGAGAUGGGAUCCAUGUAUGAGAACAAAGUAUGGACUUUGGUUGACUUGCCCGAUGAUCGGCAAGCAAUUGAGAAUAAAUGGAUCUUCAAGAAAAAGACUGACGCUGACGGUAAUGUUACUGUCUAUAAAGCUCGACUUGUCGCAAAAGGUUUUUGACAAGUUCAAGGGGUUGACUACGAUGAGACCUUCUCACCCGUAGUGAUGCUUAAGUCUGUCCGAAUCAUGUUAGCAAUUGCCGCAUUUUAUAAUUAUGAAAUUUGGCAGAUGGAUGUCAAAACUGCAUUCCUGAAUGGAUUUCUGGAAGAAGAGUUGUAUAUGAUGCAACCAGAAGGUUUUGUUGAUCCAAAGGGAGCUAACAAAGUGUGCAAGCUCCAGCGAUCCAUUUAUGGACUGGUGCAAGCCUCUCGGAGUUGGAAUAAACGCUUUGAUAGUGUAAUUAAAGCAUUUGGGUUUAUACAGACUUUCGGAGAAGCCUGUAUUUACAAGAAAGUGAGUGGGAGCUCUGUAGCAUUUCUGAUAUUAUAUGUGGAUGACAUAUUAUUGAUUGGAAAUGAUAUAGAAUUUCUGGAUAGCAUAAAGGGAUACUUGAAUAAGAGUUUUUCAAUGAAAGACCUCGGUGAAGCUGCUUACAUAUUAGGCAUAAAGAUCUAUAGAGAUAGAUCAAGACGCUUAAUUGGACUUUCACAAAGCACAUACCUUGACAAGAUUUUGAAAAAGUUCAAAAUGGAUCAAGCAAAGAAAGGGUUCUUGCCUGUGUUACAAGGUGUGAAGUUGAGUCAGACUCAAUGCCCGACCACUGCAGAAGAUAGAGAGAAAAUGAAAGAUGUUCCCUAUGCUUCAGCCAUAGGCUCUAUCAUGUAUGCAAUGCUGUGUACCAGACCUGAUGUGUGCCUUGCUAUAAGUUUAGCAGGGAGGUACCAAAGUAAUCCAGGAGUGGAUCACUGGACAGCGGUCAAGAACAUCCUGUAAUACCUGAAAAGGACUAAGGAUAUGUUUCUCAUAUAUGGAGGUGACAAAGAGCUCACCGUAAAAGGUUACGUUGAUGCAAGCUUUGACACUGAUCCGGACGAUUCUAAAUUGCAAACCGGAUACGUGUUUACAUUGAACGGUGGAGCUGUCAGUUGGUUCAGUUCUAAACAAAGCGUCGUAGCGGGAUCUACAUGUGAAGCGGAGUACAUAGCUGCUUCGGAAGCAGCAAACGAAGGACUCUGGAUGAAGGAGUUCAUAUCCGAUCUAGGUGUCAUACCUAGUGCAUCGGGUCCAAUGAAAAUCUUCUGUGACAAUACUGGUGCAAUUGCCUUGGCAAAGGAAUCCAGAUUUCACAAAAGGACCAAGCACAUCAAGAGACGCUUAAACUCCAUCCGGGAUCUAGUCCAGGUGGGAUACAUAGAGAUUUGCAAGAUACAUACGGAUCUGAAUGUUGCAGACCCGUUGACUAAGCCUCUUCCACGAGCAAAACAUGAUCAGCACCAAGGCUCCAUGGGUGUUAGAAUCAUUACAGUGUAAUCUAGAUUAUUGACUCUAGUGCAAGUGGGAGACUGAAGGAAAUAUGCCCUAGAGGCAAUAAUAAAGUUAUUAUUUAUUUCCUUAUAAUCAUGAUAAAUGUUUAUUAUUCAUGCUAGAAUUGUAUUAACCGGAAACAUAAUACAUGUGUGAAUAAAUAGACAAACAAAGUGUCACUAGUAUGCCUCUACUUGACUAGCUCGUUAAUCAAAGAUGGUUAUGUUUUCCUAACCAUGAACAAUGAGUUGUUAUUUGAUUAACGAGGUCACAUCAUUAGUUGAAUGAUCUGAUUGACAUGACCCAUUCCAUUAGCUUAGCACCCGAUCAUUUAGUAUGUUGCUAUUGCUUUCUUCAUGACUUAUACAUGUUCCUAUAACUAUGAGAUUAUGCAACUCCUGUUUACCGGAGGAACACUUUGGGUACUACCAAACAUCACAACGUAACUGGGUGAUUAUAAAGGAGCAUUACAGGUGUCUCCAAAGGUACAUCUAGAUUACAGGUGUCUAAAUAUGCCCUGUAAUCUAGAUGUACCUUUGGAGACACCUGUAAUGCUCCUUUAUAAUCACCCAGUUACGUUGUGACGUUUGGUAGCACCCAAAGUGUUCCUCCGGCAAACGGGAGUUGCAUAAUCUCAUAGUCAUAGGAACAUAUAUAAGUCAUGAAGAAAGCAAUAGCAACAUACUAAAUGAUCGGGUGCUAAGCUAAUGAAAUGGGUCAUGUCAAUCAGAUCAUUCAACUAAUGAUGUGACCUCGUUAAUCAAAUAACAACACUUUUUUUAUGGUUAGGAAACAUAACCAUCUUUGAUUAACGAGCUAGUCAAGUAGAGGCAUACUAGUGACACUCUGUUUGUCUAUGUAUUCACACAUGUAUUAUGUUUCCGGUUAAUAUAAUUCUAGCAUGAAUAAUAAACAUUUAUCAUGAUAUAAGGAAAUAAAUAAUAACUUUAUUAUUGCCUCUAGGGCAUAUUUCCUUCACUCGCAAGCAAGGAGCUACACUACAUAUGUAUGCAUUGGUAUCAACUGGAAUAAGGUUAUCAUAUGUGGACUGAACUGCAGAAUGCCGGAAUAAGAGGGGGAUAGCUAGUCCUCUCGAAGACUACGCUUUUGGUAACCUCCAUCUUGCAGCAGGAGAAGAGAGUAGAUGGUAAGUUCACCAAGUAACAUCGCAUAGCAUAAUCCUAACUGAUGAUCCUCCCCUCGUCGCCCUGUGACAGAGCGAUCACCGGUUGUAUCUGGCACUUGGAAGGGUGUGUUUUAUUAAGUAUCCAGUUCUAGUUGUCAUAAGGUCAAGGUACAACUUCGGGUCGUCCUUUUACCGAGGGACACGGCUAUUCGAAUAGAUCAACUUCCCUGCAGGGGUGCACCACAUAACCCAACACGCUUGAUCCCAUUUGGCCGGACACACUUUCCUGGGUCAUGCCCGGCCUCGGAAGAUCAACACGUCGCAGCCCUACCUAGGCACAACAGAGAGGUCAGCACGCCGGUCUAAAUCCUAUGGCGCAGGGGUCUGGGCCCAUUGCACACCUGCACGUCGCGUACGCGGCCGGAAGCAGAACUAGCCCCCUUAAUACAAGAGCAGGCUUACGGUCCAAUCCGACGCGCGCCACUCAGUCGCUGACAUCACGAAAGCUUCGGCUGAUACCACGACGUCGAGUGCCCAUAACUAUCCCCGCGUAGAUGGUUAGUGCGUAUAGGCCAGUAGCCAGACUCAGAUCAAAUACCAAGAUCUCGUUAAACGUGUUAAGUAUCCGCGAACACCGACCAGGGCCAGGCCCACCUCUCUCCUAGGUGGUCUCAACCUGCCCUGUCGCUCCGCCACAAAGUAACAGUCGGGGGCCUUCGGGAACCCAGGCCCACCUCUACCGGGAUGAAGCCACCUGCCCCUUCAGCCCCCAACUCCGAACAGUACCACAGGUAAUGUAACUGUGCAAAGUAUAUAGUAUAUGCCCGUGAUCACCUCCCGAAAUGAUCACGGCCCAGUAGUAUAGCAUGGCAGACGGACAAGAGUGUAGGGCCACUGGUGGAACACUAGCAUCCUAUACUAAGCAGUAGGAUCGCAGGUAAUGGUAACAACAGUAGUAGCAAGGACAGGCUAUGCAUCAGGAUAGGAAUAAUGGAAAGUAGUAACAUGCUACACUACUCUAAUGCAAGCAGUAUAGAGAAGAGUAGGCGAUAUCUGGUGAUCAAAGGGGGGGCUUGCCUGGUUGCUCUGGCAAGGAGGGGUCAUCUUCGAUCGAUGUAGUCGAACACACGGACAUCGGCAACGGUCUCGGAGUCUACCGGAAAGGAGUAACGGAGGGGGAACACAAUAAAUAUAAGAGCAAUCAAAUGUAACACAAAGCAAGACGCGGCAAUACAUUGUGCUAGGGGUGACCUAACGGAGGGAUAGGCGAUACCGGCGAAGGGGAGAAACAUCCGGGAAAGUAUUUCCGGUAUUUCGCGUUUUCGGGCAGAUGAACCAGAGAGGGAAAGUUGCGUGUUCGCUAUGCUAGGGAUGUGUGACGGACGAACGGACUGCGUAUCCGGAUUCGUCACGUCGUUCUGAGCAACUUUCAUCUAUAAAACUUUUUCAUCUGACAUAUGAAUUACUUUCUAUUAAUUUUCAAAGGUUUAAACAAUUUCUAAAGUUUCUGGUUUUAUUUUAAUUUAUUUUAAUCCGAGUUGACCAAGUCAACUUUGACUUGUCAAAAAGGCAGGGAGUGGCCCACAUGUCAUAGGUCGUAUCUAAACAAAUAAAUAAAACUAAUCUAAUUGAAAGGAACCCACACGUCAUUGUCACAUAAAUUAACUAGUGCUAAUUAGUCCUUAAUCUAACCUACUCCUAAUUAACUGGGCCAGCCACUGGCACAGCCGUGCCUAACGUUGAGUGGCUGUGCCACGGUUGUGUGGCCAUGGUAUGGGUGCAGAGGCAGCGGCCAUGGCCAUUCUCAACAACAGCAAGCAGCAUGAGGUAGUAGAGCAAGCAAACAAGGGCAGCGGCAGCAAGAAUUACGAGCAUUAGCAGCGGUAGUAGCUUAGCAGGAGCAGCAGCUACGCAGGCACACGCGAGAUGCAUAGGGCGUGGCUACGCGGGCGCGGGGCAAGACCGGCGAGCAGGAAGCAAGGCGGCGUGCGGCGACGGCAGGAGCGACAACAACGCAGUAGCAGGCAGACGCAAGGAGCAGCGGCAGCUCCGGCGAGGCCACACGCACGCGAGCGCAUGCGGAGGCGCGGCCACGAGCGGUGCUGGCGCGGGGCAGGCAGCGGUUGCGCGCUUGGGUGCGGUUAGGAAGCGGCGCGCGCGGCCAGACGCGGUCGGACACGAACAGGGGCGCGGCUGAGCAUGGCUACGGCACGAAACUUCCGACACGAUGUGAAGAGCAGUCCAGGGCAUCAGAUCGAAGGGGAAAAUGGGGCGAGAUGGAGGGGAGUUCACCGUGAGUCCGGAGGAGCAGACGGCAAGGCCGGGGGUGGUCGGAGCGGUGCGGAUCGAUGGCGAGAUGGCGGCGGCCAGACGAAGAAGACGAUGGCGGCGUUGGCGACGCAGCGCCCUGGCUCGAGCUGGUGCCCGGAACGGACGAAGCCAGCCGCGACGGACCUCCUGAGAGGUCGAUGGCCGCAACGAUGACAGCGAGGCAAUGGUGACCGUGAGUUGUUCGAGCUCGAAUUGAGAAGAAGAGGAGGGGCCGAUGAGGGAUCCAGGGGUUAUGAGCGAGAUGGGGAUUAGGGUUUCGGUGAGCGACUUUAUAGGCCGAGGGAGGCGACGUGGAGGGCAUCCACGGCCAUGGCGCCCUGGAUGUGCGCCACGCCAUGGCCCCUGCCUCCCCUGUUGCCUCCCCUGUACGUGGUAGGGGAAAGGCCGGGAGUGGGCUGGGCCACGUGCACACUAGAGCCCACUUGGGCAGUACUAGUUUAGGCCUUUUCUCUUUUUUAUUUGCAUUUUCUUUUCUGUCUAUUUACUUUCCUCUAUAGUUUUCAAUUUAUCUUUAACUUUAAAAAUACAAAAAUAGCACAUAGAUUAGUAAGAUAAAUAUACCACUGCCACAUUUAAUUAUGGCACCCAAAUAAAAUAGCCUAACAUUUUAUUAAUUAUAAAAGGCAAUAAUUAAUAUGGUUAAGCCACCGUUUUAUUUAUCUUAGUGCACUUAACUAUUUUAGAAAAACUUGGUUCCUUCACCAAUAUUACUUAUGAAUUAUUUGUCACAUCCAGAAAUUUUUAGUUUAGACAUUUGAAAACUUUUAUAGUUUGACUUUAUUUCAAAUUUGAAUUUGAAUGGGAUUUGAAUCAUCGUGAGAUUGUCAACAGCAAUCGUGGUGAUGUGGCAACAUUUGUAGAGGGUUACUGUAGCUUAAUUAUCCGGGC